rnacentral:lncRNA from 1 species
UCACUCACAGCUGUGUUACCUGGAUCCAAUAAUUAACCUUUCUAAUCUGUAUAAUGGGGACACAAUUAACCCACCUCAUAACAGCUCUUACGAGGAUGAAGUGGGAUGAUUUUAAAAAGCGCUCAGUAAAGUGUCCGGGACCUAACAGGUGCCCGGUAAUGUUAGUAGUGUUUUCUCAUCGUUAGACCAGACCCAGCCCAACAGCGGAACUCCUGCUCCUUCCUGAAGCUCCUGAGUUUGGAGGAGAGGAUGGAAGGGGGGCAGCAGGAAGGGAGAAUCCCCCCCAGUGGUUAACCAGAAGCAAGAGUCCCUCUGUCCUUUGCACUCCACGACCAGCUGUCCCGCAGCCCCCCGGCCGGGCCUGCAGAGGCAGAGGGCGAACCCGCCAGUGACACGCCCUCCAGUCGGGUCCUGCUGAGUGGCCGAGGUGGGCCUCACAGGUUGCAGUCAGGAUCCCAAGGGACAGAGGAGAGCAGGGGUAUAUGUCAAGCUAGACGUCUAGAUGUGUUGCGAUGCUGCAGGCAAGUGGCCCUCCCUGUUGGAGCACCUGGGAUUCACAGAUUUGAAAGAGGCCUCCUGGUGCAAGCAACUGUCAAAAAUGAUGGAUGCUGACAUCUCAGAUAGGAGGAAAGCAGAAACGAGAGGCCUGGGCUCUGGGAACCUGUUGGAACUUAGUCUCAUUCUCUUUAGCCUUGACUAUCAAGGGCCGACGAUUGGCGAUUCUCUCCAGGUUGCCUAGAGAACAACUGAGCUGAGGCACAGAGACGUGAUUGGGGAGGUAGUAGGAAGAGCUUAAGAGUUAGGUGACGAGGCGGGGGAGCUGGUGGGGGAGACCAAGAGGUGAUUUUGCAUAUCAAUAAGAAACAAGGAUGAUUUUCCUUUGAAACCAUUGUUUUGGACAAGAAAUUUUAUUCUCUAGCUGUAAUACCAAUCACCUUUCUCCUAAUUUUUAAAGCUCAAGAGUCUUUUCAUGACCUUUCUAAAUUGCCCUCUGCAAUUUAUCUUUCCUUCCACUUCCCCUUCCUCUGUUUCCUAUUUAAAAUCUAGAAGAGACUUGCAUAAAAAGCAGUCAAGAUGUUGGAGCCCACUAACAAUAUUUCCCCAAGUUUUAAAAUAAAUAGCAGCAAUCCUUUUCAUGUAUAUGGUCCUGAACAUAUUGAAAAGUAUGUUUGCUUGUACAAUGCCAUCCGAGCAUCACACUGGCCCUACGAAAUCGGCAGGGCUGGUGUCAUUUGUCUUCAAAUCUCAGAAAACAGUAAU